rnacentral:tRNA from 1 species
AUUUAUAUAGUUUAAAGAAAACAAUACAUUUUCAUUGUAUAAAUAAUAUAUUAAUAUUUAUAAAUA